GUCGCAUCUAGACUUGAGCUCUGGGCCCUCUGGCCGAGGCCCUGCAUGUGAGGGGCAGAGCUGAGAGGGAGGAUGGACGAGGGCACCUCCGCGCCCGGGGGAGUGCGGGUCCCUCCAGCUCGGAGAGCUUCGGCUGCAGCGUUCUCCCUGCUUGGCCUUCUGUGUACAAUCCGGGUCUUCCCGAACGCUGCAGGGGACCCCGGUUUCCACACCAUCGUCAAGUUUUACUGGGCGAGGGACGCGCAGAGAGCUCCAAAGGCAUGACCGGAAGCCUCCUCUCCAGGCGUGGCUGGUGAAGAUGCGUAGUGGAUAAAGGUACUUGCCACCUCACGAUGCAAGCCAGGUGACCAGAGUUCCAUGCCUGGAAGCCUCUUGAAGGUUGAAGAAGAGAACUAAUUCCAUAUGCUGUCCUUUGACUUCUGCCUGCAUGUUGAGGCAUGACCAUACAAUAGUAAUAAAAUGUAUGGCUUCAUUAUAAUUAAAGAUUAUUUUUAAAGUUCUAACAACAGACAUCAUUUGAUGCUUAUUUCAUCGAUCAGUCUACUCUGGACAUGAGGAAGAAGCUACAGAAGCAAG